GGACUUGAAGAGUGCGAUGAGAAAGCUGAAUCAUGAGCUGUGUGCAGUGCUGAAAUGUCCAGUGGAUUUUUAAACAGAGAAGCCUGCACCAGCAUCAUGAAAAGAGGCUCAGAGAAGAACCUCAAACGUGGAUACCACCAGCAUGUGCAGCCCAACACUCCAGCCUGGUGAAGAGAAAAAAACAGGAUGCAACUUUCCAGGUUUCUUUCAAGCAAUUGGCUUGUGGAACUCUGAGAGAUGCUGCCAGCUAUGAUAUGUUGGAAGGAUCAUGAUCAGCUGUCCAGUUUAGAUUUCACCCAGUGGCCAAGAUCGUUGCAGAGCAGACAGCAAGGGUUGGAUUUUUAAGAAGAGUAAACCAGGUAAGAUUUGGGAGAUAUAUCUGAUCAUGUAUCACUUACUCUAUGAGUUUUAAUGUACAGUCAACAUGUAUUGGACAACAUAUAGCAUAUCUGUUUAUUUCCUAAAUCCAUUGAACAGAUUGUUGAAGAAUUGGGUUCUCCAGGAACCAAGAUCGUGUGUACAGUAACAGUUAAUCCUUUUUCUCAAGAGGAAAGAGAGGCUACCAUAAG